rnacentral:rRNA from 1 species
CAGCUCGUGUCGUGAGAUGUUGGGUUAAGUCCCGCAACGAGCGCAACCCCUAUCAUUAGUUGCCAGCGGUUCGGCCGGGGACUCUAAUGAGACUGUCUGGGAUAACCAGGAGGAAGGUGGGGAUGACGUCAAGUCCGUAUGUCCCUUAUGUCCAGGGCUACACACGUGUUACAAUGGCCGGUACAAAGGGUCGCGAAGCCGCAAGGUGAAGCCAAUCCCAUAAAACCGGCCCCAGUUCGGAUUGAAGUCUGCAACUCGACUUCAUGAAGUCGGAAUCGCUAGUAAUCGCGUAUCAGCACGACGCGGUGAAUACGUUCCCGGGUCUUGUACACACCGCCCGUCACGCCAUGGAAGUCGGUAGUGCCCAAAGCAGGUGGCCUAACCUUCGGGAAGGAGCCUGUUAAGGUAAGACUGGUAACUGGGGCGAAGUCGUAACAAGGUAGCCGUACCGGAAGGUGCGGCUGGAACACCUCCUUUCUAAGGAG